CCCAACAAAGAAAUGCUACUCGUCUAAAUUAAAUUCACAGUAUGAUAGUCCAAACACACAAGUACUCGAGAAAGAAUUUAACCAAGCUAGAACCAAAAUGACAAAUUAAAGUCCAAAUACAAUCCGAAAAUGCACUGUCCAUAGCAUGACUGAAUACAGUAAAGUUCAAAUAGUAAAGCUAAUUCAAUAAGGAACACAUGAGUAGUCUUUUAAGAAUAUGGACUAAUAUUCAGCCUAGUUUACAUUCAUCUACAAGUGUCCAAAUUGAUUACAUAACUUCAAUAUGCACUUCACAUGUCAAUGAGAUCCAAAAAGUACCUGAUUGUAGCAAAAGCAACAAAGGAAACAUGCCCGAGGUUAGGAAGAAACGAGAACACCAGCACAACAACAUUCAACCUCUUAGACCAUUUUUAAACCCAAAUAAACCAAAAAUUUCCUUGAAGCUUUUAAAUUCUGAUUAACAAUCAAAACUAAAGAGCAAAACCAAGACCAAUUUCGACCAAAAAUUGCAGGAAUUUUAGUAUAUUUUUUAGAGUAUCAAUCGCUGCUCAAAAUGAAGGGAAAAAGGUCUUUAUAUAGGUAUGCCUAAGGCAGCCCUAGCCUAACUAACCAUUUUCGCUUUUACCCCUUGAAUUCUUGGUUAUUUUACCCUUUUUACCCUUUUAAAAUAUCUGACCUCCCUUAUCUCUUAACAAACCAGCUUUAAAUUUAACCUCUAGAAUCUUCGUCCCAACAGAAAAUGAUUCCCUACCCUCAAAUACCUAAAUUAACCCUUUAUCCCUUGCAUUUUACAUUCAGAAAGACUCAGCUCAUGGGUCAGAUUUGACCCAAGUCCCAAAUGAAUGGGUCUCUUAAUCGGGUCAGCGAUGACCACAGUUAGUACAAAACUCAAACCAUCAGAAAUGCUCAAACAAAAGGAUCUAAUUCAGAAAAAAGAAAACAAACAACAAUCCAGAGUUUUAUGAUUAAACUUAACUUAACCACUAAACCAAGAUGAAUUCCACUACUAAAGAAAGUAAGACAAAAAUAAUGAAGCAAAUAAAAAUAAAAAAGAGAACAAAAAAUACUACCAUGAACAGAAUCGUGAGAAAAAAGAGGGGAAAGUACCAAUUCAUGCCGGAAUGUCUUGACAAAACAAAACGAUUCGACGAACAAUGACGGGAGUAGACAUUUGGCAAGAAUCCAAUGCGUCAAUCAAAAUCCGACGUUUUUCCGUAAUGACUCAAAACUUUCGUCAAUCAAUUGCCCUCAUUGAGAGCAAUCUAUUAACGUAAGAUUCGAGUUAAAACACGUCGAAAUUAGAGCAAAAUCAGAAAAAAGAAAGGGAAAUUAGGGAUUGUAUUUUCUGAUUUUAGAUCCGAAAUUGGGCAACUUUGGUUGGAUUCUAAGGAAAGAUAUUAAUGGAUUUGGGAAUAAGGAGGGGUAAGGACUGCCUGGUUGAAAUUUGGGGUUGUUUGGAGCAUGCCGCCGGCGGAGAUGGUGGGGAACUUUAGGGCAGCGCUAGGGUUUUUAGUCUCUGAGUAUAGAGACGAAGAA
rnacentral:lncRNA from 1 species